CAGGCUUGCAGAGCCAGUUGAUCCUUGGGUCGUUACGGACAGCACUGUGUGCAACAUCAACAAGGAUGACCUCAAAGUACUUGUAGGUAGAAUCCUACACUCCAGGCAAUGGGCAAGCAGAAAAAUUACUGAAUAUUACAACAAGAAUUUUCAGUCAUUUCCAAGAUUUCAGCAAUAAACAAAUAUAUACCUCAUUCACCCAGUAGGAGUUGAGCACACGAAGACCACCAAGCUUGCGCCCAGCUCUUUCCUCAGCAACAGACCUCUUGUUCCUUUGGAACUUGAGCUGGGUAAUACCCUGGUGCUUGGGCUUACCAUAAACAAUACCCUUGGGCACGGGCCUCUUCCGGCCACCACGCCUGACACGGAUCCGGUAGACAACAUAGCCCUUUACACAAAGAACAUGUAGUCAGCAAAGAAAAAUACCAAGCAAUUAUAAUAUGGAGAAAAGGUUACCAAAAGGAUUGCAAAGCAAGAACAAUUACAGACAUUAAUUAUUGUACUAAAUUCAAAGAGGAAACCAUAAACUAUGAAGCAUUGUUUAAUGGAAAAUAAGAAUUUACUAAAUGGUACUCAUAACAUCUAUGAAGCAAUGUAUAAUGGACAAUUCAAUUUACCAAUUGCUAGUCAUAACAUCCAAGACAUCUUCCAAUGCAUGGGUAAAGGGAUGAGGUGCUUGAGCAUUAAAGAUUUUAGCAACUAAACUGCACAAUGCAUUGCUGCUAAGCGUUUGGUUGUUUAGCUCCAUUCAUUUAAUUAGGUAUAGACACACGUUUAGCAUGGGUUCUUGCUGAGGUCAAGAUACUACUCUCUCUCUUCAAUUAAGAUGCUACAUCGUAUUUUUUGCAUAAUAAACAACCUUAGCACCUUUACAAGGUGGAGCAUCAAGAAGGGCCUAAUGCCUUCACAAGUUAGUACAAACCAAUGCAACUUGCAGCAUAUAUUCCAAAUGAACAUAGCAUCAACUACAUGACUAGACUGAAGAAUGUCUGCGCCCCACAAGUUUCGGGAACGAUAAACUAAAUGGCAUGGUCCAAAUUAAUACUCCGAAACACAGAUGAAAUUAAGGCGAGCUGUUAAAACAAACAAGUGAGCAUGGCAUCAUGGCUGUAAUUAGAGAUCCGUUGCAUUACAAACAGCCGUUUCUUAUUGCAGAAGAAUGGCAUAGAACAGGCAUCACCAAAACUAAAUCCAGCUUCGACGAGACAGAGAACACGCAGUUUGCCCUCACAACGAUCAAAGUAAAACACAGACGUUGGUAACUAUGUACCUAAGAUAACAAUCACGUUGGUAACUAUGCCCAGCCAUGGCAUCGCAUAAGGAACAGAAGGGAGGAUAGGAUCUAAG
rnacentral:lncRNA from 1 species